GGUCUCUGGCUCAUGUUAGAUCCUGUCUAUUCCAGCAACGUAUGAAACCCCACCUCCUCCCGUCUCUCUCUCUCUCUCUCUCGGCGGCGUGGACUCCUGGCUGUGUUUAAUUGCCGAGUGGCAAGAUCUGAGGGAAAGAUCGGGAAUCACAUGGAGCCGCUGCGUCUGUCAACGCUUUACGAGCCCCAACCCCGGGAGAGAGAGACCGAGAAGGUGUAGGAAGGAAGUGUUGGAGUUUGGGAAAACGGUGAGAAGGGAAUUUUUUUACGCAGUGGUGAAGAAAAAAAAAAACCUGAGGUGUAGAGAGAGGUGAAAGACUUCAGGAGAAGGAGAGUUGGAGAAAAAAAAAAGGAGGGAAGGAAAGAAAAGAGGCCCACCACUAGAGAAAAGGGUUCGGGAACAACGAGAGAGAACAUUGGGAAAACAAGAGUAAGUUAGAAAAAGCACCAGGAGGAAGGAAGGGGGAGGUGAGAGACAAAAAAGUUGGAGAGGGGAAGUGCGGGAGAAAGAAAGAGACGCAGAUGAGAAAAACAGACGGCGUGGAUGGAGAGAGAACCAGUGGUUUUCUAAGUCGGAUUUGGGACUGGAAUGCACUCGGAGAACACGAAUGCGAGAUUUACAACUCAUUCCUGCCACUUUUGCCCGGAGCAGGGAGUCCGACGCACACCGGGCCCCGUUGAUGGAUCAUGUGUGCGUAUGGAGUCGGGAAUAGCCCCGUUCCCGAAGGAGUUGGGGAUAGACGGAGCGCCACGGCAAGUUUAUGACAAGGAAAUACAACAUCCGUGCUAUUCCUGGGUGGAUGUACGAACGCCAAGGUGGGUUCGGGAGAUCCGACGGGAAUGUGGAUGCGUUCAGCGUUGGUAUUACCCCGAGUUGCUUCAUCCCUUUAACGGGGGCCAUGUUUUAAAGGUCAGAGGUCAACGCUACUUCUCACCGGAUCAACACUACGGAGAUCCCCGGGAGUGGGAUGAUGUCCACGGACAUUGCACACGGAGACGGGUGUCUUUCCGGCAUCACGGGGAGCAACACAGCCCUGGGAUCAGCAGACAAUCAAGCCCUGGAAAACCACAGAGUAAUGGGGAAAACUCCGCUUUUUUCCCAACCGAGGUGCCCUCAAGCAAGUUGGGGCGCUCGAGGCUGCAGGUGAACGGAUCGAAGCGGGAAAUAAGGUCGGAUCCGGGAAGCGUAGCUGUGGAAAACCAUGGCAACCAGAGGAAGAGCCAGGGAACAGUACGGGAACAGAUCAAACAAGUGGUCAAUGAGCUCGAGGAAGUGCUGGGUGGUCUUAAACAGGUCCAGUUGGAGAUGAAAGAGGUCGUCCAACAGAUCGAUGUUCUGACGUCCCACAUUGACCUUGAUGAAGAAGAAACAAGUCCAUCCAAUGGACUCUCCCAAGAUGCCAGCAGAAGCAGUCGGACUGAUGUUGUGGCGUUGAUCCACUAUUCGAAUGGUGAAGAGGACACCACUUCCGACUCUUCUCUCGCACACAGCCCUGUGGAUUUAGUUCACAAUAACAGUCCUUCGCCAAUGAGGAACCACAUAAGCCUGUCCUCUCCUGAACAGAGACCCAUUACUGUUGAGGAUAAAGACAGAAGAGUCGCAAAACAAACCUCAGAGACUCAAAGGACUCAAAGGACGCUCAAUGGAAACUGUCUACCACACCGAACGGCAAGGAAAGGGCAACUGGAAAACCACAGACCCCCUGUAGUUCCAAUAGUGUACACUAACUCAAAUAAAACCCACCGGCCUCCACCUUACCCUCAGAACGGACAGCUGAAGAUGAGGACGCCUCCUUACCCUGGAAAACAUAAGAUGCUCUCCUCCACCGUAGUGUAAGGACACAAAACUAACUAACCCAAAGACAAUCAAACAAACACAUCACGCAUUCUCACAGACACAGUUGCACACAUUAAUCAGUCACUCGGUCGUAAUGUUCCCUGGUGACGAACCUCGAGGGACUGAUGCCACACAACUCAUCUGACUCAUAGCGGAGGACGGAGAGCCCUGGGCCGAGGGGCGAUGACUGUAUUUCCCAUGGAAAACUCCAGAAGCAUCUCAAAGCACUCUUUCUCUCACACACACACCCCUGCUGAAACAAACAAGCAAACCGUUGUACCAAUUUAAAGUCAUCAUGGCCUUCACAACUCAUUUUAUUUAUAUCGUCAGAUGCAUUUCUGAUUAAAACGGGAAAAAGUGGGAGUCGUGCGAUUGGAGGGGCGGGAUUAAAAAGUAAUGUCACCUGAAAAGGAAAGUCGUUUCAGAGGCGGAUGAGUCGUAACAUGUUGAUGAAAGAUUAUGAAAACAAAGAAGUAAUGUGCAUCCAUGAAUUUUAGACAACCGGGAUAGUGUAUUAAGAAAGUCUGUGUUGCUCAUAUUUAUUUCCUUACUCAAACAGCAUUAUUUUGAAAGUGUUUUCUUGGCUUUCGUCCAUGAAGUGUAGUGUUUUCAGGCUGUGACGUAAACUAAAGAAUAUAGAGGGCAACUGUCUGUUUCCGGAAGUAAAAACUAAAAA